rnacentral:rRNA from 1 species
GAUGAACGCUGGCUGUGUGCCUAAUACAUGCAUGUCGAGCGAAGUGAUUUAUCACUUAGCGGCGAAUGGGUGAGUAACACGUACUCAACGUACCCUUCAGUUUGGCAUAGCGGUUGGAAACAACCGAUAAUUCCAAAUACUCGUAGAUGCCGCAUGGCAUUUACGGAAAAGACGCCUUAAAGCGUCGCUGGAGGAGCGGGGUGCGCAACAUUAGCUAGUUGGUGAGGUAACGGCCCACCAAGGCAAUGAUGGGUAGCCGGCCUGAGAGGGUGAACGGCCACAAGGGGACUGAGACACGGCCCUU